CGGGUGCGUUGCGAUGGCAGAAUCAUGGCUCUGAGGAGCCUGUGGGGAGUGAAGGUGGGUAGCCCACCUGGCUUGCGACCCAUGGUGCUAAUAGUGAGUCAGGGUUGGUGUUACAGGAACCAGUUGGACCGUAGUCCCUGGUUGUGUUGCUUAGGGAUGCGGAGUUAGUGUUAGUGUAGUGAAUGCAGAGUGUGUUGAUGUGUAGCGAAUGCAGAGUGUGUGUCAGUGUAGUGGAUGCAGUGAGUGUGUUAGUGUGUAGUGUAUGCAGAGUGUAUGUUGUAUUAGUGUAUGCAGUGUGUAUUGUAUUAGUGUAUGCAGUGUGUAUUGUAUUAGUGUAUGCAGUGUAUGUGUUGUGUUAGUGGGUGUCUGACCCCGUUUCUCUUGACCAGCAUGAUGUGGCUAUGUGUAGAGCUGGGCCAGUUCAAUGAGAGGUCAUGGAAACUCCAGUGCAUGAGUCGUCCCAGGGAAGCAUAUUUCUAGUGGUGUUGGUUCUCAUGUCUAUAAGCAAUGUUAAGGGGGUAUCCCAUCUAUCCCAAACAAUUUCCAGUAUAAAAUUGGAUGAAAAACACAACAUUUAAACAUUUAAAUGGUGAAACAUGUAUGCAUAUGUCAUACGUUACCACGCCGUUAGUCGGCAAGGGGCUUGCAGGCAGGUGUGCUUGUAAAGUAAAACAGUCACUUGGCUGUUGCCACAGUUUGACAGUCCCUGGUUACUCUCGUGGGGGAAGAAUGCAUGGUUUUUGACUGUUCUGCAGUGCCCGGCAGGUGAAGCUGUAUGUUCCAUUCCUCCAGCAGUUGUCCUUCUU